AUUUGUAAAAAAAAUCUACUUUAUUGAGUUUAAAUGUUUUUCAGCAUUUGUUUUACUAUCAAAUAAAUGUUUGUAUAAACUAUUAGUUUACAUGAAUUAAUAUUAGAAACAACAUCAAAUCCAAAAAUUAAAAAAAAAAUGUGUUCAAAACCUUGUGGAUCUGCAAAUUUAUUUGGAGAUUGUGUACCUUGCUCUCCGUGUGGCCCAUGUGGCCCAUGUGGCCCUUGUGGCCCAUGUGGCCCUUGUGGUCCAUGUGGCCCGUGUGGUCCGUGUGGUCCAUGUGGCCCGUGUGGCCCGUGUGGUCCAUGUGGCCCUUGUGGCCCAUGUGGACCGUGUGGACCCUGUGGUCCUUGUGAUCCAUGUUGUCCAUUUAUAAUUUGCGGACCAAAUGAACGUUCCCCUCCGUGUGGCCCUUCGAAAUGUUUCACCAAAUCAAGUUGUUACAGUGUGCCGCGAUGCGGUCUACCAAAUUUUCCAAACUGUGAAGUUCCAGUUCCAUUACCUGCAGGUGCAGAUAAUUGCUGUGUUAGUCCGCCAUUAAUGGAAGGUGGUAUACCGGACCCAAGAGUUUGGAAUAAUUGUUAUCCACCAUCUUGUUAUCCAUGCUACUUAUAAAAAUAAAUUUAACGAUAAAUAUUUUAUGUCAUAUUUACAAGAAAAUAAAACCAACAACAAAACUGUGUA